GUCCACGCCCUAAACGAUGUCAACUAGCUGUUGGGGCCUUCGGGCCUUAGUAGCGCAGCUAACGCGUGAAGUUGACCGCCUGGGGAGUACGGUCGCAAGAUUAAAAACUCAAAAGGAAUUGACGGGGACCCGCACAAGCGGUGGAUGAUGUGGAUUAAUUCGAUGCAACGCGAAAAAACCUUACCUACCCUUGACAUGUCUGGAAUCCUUUAGAGAUAGAGGAGUGCUCGCAAGAGAACCGGAACACAGGUGCUGCAUGGCUGUCGU
rnacentral:rRNA from 1 species